rnacentral:rRNA from 1 species
GGGAUAGAUACCCUAUUAUUUAAGAGCUAUAUAUUGUAAGUAAAUAAUUAUUACGAAAGCAAAAAAUUAUGGCGGUAUUUUAAGCUUUUCAGAGGAACUUGCUCUUUAAUGGAUAGAACACCUAAAUCUUACUUAAAUUUGCUAAAUCAAUUUGUAUACCACUAUAAAAUUAAUUAUUUACUUUAAUUAAUAAAGUUUAUAAAUUUUAGAGUAAAUUAAGUCAAGGUGCAGUAAAAAUUUAAGAAUGAAGUGAGUUACAUUUCUUUUAAGAGAACUACAAAUUUAAAAAUAAUAUUAGGAUUUGAAAGUAAAAUUAAAAUAGAAUGUUAAUUUGAAUAAAGCUCUAAAAUAUGUACACAUCGCCCG